CCUCCUCCGGCGCGGGGGCGGGGGCUUCGGGUGGGACGCCCGGCUCAGCGUCUCUGCUGACAGGAGCUCGGUCUCCUUAGGACUCGCCGGGGUUUCGGCUUCAGGACAAAGUGGGGCUGCGUCCACGCUGACUAGGGAACAGGUUACCUGAGGACCCAGGUGAUGCCUGAGGGAAAGAGCACGGGCUCUAGGCGCACGGGUUUCAGUAGUUGUGGCACGAGGGCUCAGUAGCUGUGGCUCACGAGCUUAGUUGCUCUGCGGCAUGCAGGAUGUUCCAGGACCAGCGCUUGAACCUGUGUCCCCUGCAAUUGGCAGGCGGAUUCUUAACCACUGUGCAAUGAGGAAAGCCCCAUUUAAACCAUUUGAUCUGAGAGGACAUGCGGUCAUCAUGUCUGUUUAGACUCUUCUGGGCUCUGACAGUUGCUCAGACUCUUCUUGUUUCCAUGACCUUGACAGCGUGGAGGAGGGCUGCUCAGGACUCCUAGGCCCCUCCGGUGUGCAUCAUUUUCCCUGCAGGGUCACUGAGUACCUCCAGACCCCUGUGGGCCUGCUGAGCAACAUUGAGGCCGGUCCGUUGGUCCCUCGGAGGCUCUCUGUGUAUGCUGAGUGAUGGGCAACACACUGCACGUUUCUUCAGGAGAGCUAAAUUUCCAGAGCCCUCGAACAGCCUCAGGACCACAUUUCUGGCCAGUAGGACGUGCCAUGGAAGUCUUCUUCAUGGCCCUGGUCUGAGCUGCCAUGGGAAAACAUUGUGCUUACAAUUCUUCGAGGACCUCGUACGUGAAGUCACUCUGCUGGAGGAGAGAGUCAACAUCCUGCCGUGCUGUGUCGCUAACAGGACACUCAGCGUGAGCACUU